AUUGAACGCUGGCGGCAGGCCUAACACAUGCAAGUCGAACGGCAGCGGGGGAUAGCUUGCUAUCCUGCCGGCGAGUGGCGGACGGGUGAGUAAUGCAUGGGGAGCUGCCCAAUCGAGGGGGAUAACAACUGGAAACGGUUGCUAAUACCGCAUACGCCCUGCGGGGGAAAGGUGGGGACCUUCGGGCCUACCGCGAUUGGAUGCAGCCAUGUGGGAUUAGCUAGUUGGUGAGGUAACGGCUCACCAAGGCGACGAUCUCUAGCUGGUCUGAGAGGAUGACCAGCCACACUGGAACUGAGACACGGUCCAGACUCCUACGGGAGGCAGCAGUGGGGAAUAUUGCACAAUGGGGGAAACCCUGAUGCAGCCAUGCCGCGUGUGUGAAGAAGGCCUUCGGGUUGUAAAGCACUUUCAGUCAGGAGGAAGGGGAGCAAGCUAAUAUCUUGUUUCAUUGACGUUACUGACAGAAGAAGCACCGGCUAACUCCGUGCCAGCCGCCGCCGUAA
rnacentral:rRNA from 1 species